AAAUGGCGAUGGCGACCAACACUCCACUCCUCGUCUCCUCCUGCAACGGCUGCCGCCCCUAUCCACACCGCCACCGCCACUUCCCCAAGCCUAACGCGCUGCCCCCUCUCCGCUCUCCUCCCUGCGCACCACCCCGGCCGCCUCCCUCGUCCCCCUCCCGCGCCGCCGCCGGAAUGUCAGCGCGGCCUACGGCGACGACGACAUGGACGACGACUUUGGGGACUUCGACGCCGACGACGCGGACGGCGUCGGCGACGACGACGACAUCGACAACGAGCAGGACUACGACGUCGACUACGACCGCCUCCUCGCGCCCGUCAAGCCGCCGCCGCCGCUUAGCUUGUUUUCUUAACCAAACACUACAGAAACAGGCGCGCUGAUGACCCAGACUUUUUCCUUGAUUUUGAGGAGAUAUAUGUUAUUGACUCGAAAACAAGGUCAAUCACAAGAGCGAAAGUUGUGGUUAGCGUUCCUGAAGGAAAGAAAAGAGAUAGGCGAAAUGACCUGCUACUGAUACGUGAUGGUGGGGAGUCUUUUAGAAUAAUCGACAAGACUAAAAGGGAUGAUGCCACCACUGUCAUCCAAAGAGAAGAGUGGGCAAAGUCAAGGCAAGAUGUGGAGAAGCAUUUCAGGAAGCUCAGAGAUUUCGACUACUCAAAUUGGUUCUGAAGAAACAGUUGUUGCAGAGAAGAAUGGAAUGCAGAGAUUUUGCUGACUCUGCUGCUGGUUGAAUAGAGCAGGCUACUGGUGUGAUCGAGAGAGAGAUGCCAUCUUGGAGUAGAUAGGUUGUUGUAACAUUAGUUGUAGUAAGUAGAAUGUGUGCCGUAUAGGGAUCGCAGUAUGUAGGCACAAAGAUUGAGAUCCUGGUGAUUGUGCUACUCCUUCUCUGCAGAUUUGCGCUCUCUUGAUGGACCUCA